ACGACUGCAGGAUUUGCCUAGUAAGAUGCUUGAAGAGUUGUCACAGUUUGAUCUAACAACUUUGUUGUGUGGUGAUUUUUUUAAGAACUGGUGCAUUAGAGGAGCAUUUUGGGACCUGUAGCUCAGCAUUACCUGUCUAAAUGGAUACUGGCACAUUUAAAAAAUUCCCACUGACAAUUUAAACAAUUCAAGAUUCUGAUGAGCCCCUUUUAAACAUUGUGGAAACAAUUAUUUACCUAAAUUCCUUUAUAAAAUGUUGAUUUGCAAAAGGUGUUUUCUGCUCCCCUGUGAUAUUUGCAAGGGUCUAUCCAGCAGGGAAGAGUGGCAGCACCAAAUAUGCUUGAACGCACCCUCUCCUUCCUCUCUGGGCACAGGCCUGUUGGCCGACUUCUCUGUUUCAGUUUUGCAGCUGUUAUUACAGGUAAACACCCUUUUGCAACGUCUGAGGGGCACAAUAUGUAUGCAGACAAGCCCUCGACCCCAGUCAAAAGCAGAGCAGCAUUGGACUGGCCACACAGCGGUGAGAUCAGCUCAUGCAUAAGACAGGAUGCGUAACUGAUCAACAAAACAGCGAAAGUAACUCCUCGCAAACCAGUUGCCAGUGCAUAAGGGGAACACACUAACGAAAAAAACCCAAUUGUUUUCAUAGCUAUAGGAAUCUUACUGGGUAUUUAUAACAGUAAUCCAUAGAAUUUCCAGCUGGAAAUGUGAUUCCUAACUUGUAAACGUCCCUGUAAAUCACUGUCAGAAUAAAAUCGCUUUCAUUUUAAUCUCACAGAAGUUUUUUUUUUUAAAUCGUUUCUAAACAUAGCUGCAGCGCUAACAAAAGUCUGAGUUAUUUUAAAAUGUUUUGACAUGUAACUAGUCUUCAAUACUGAUUAAUAUAAAUACGGGCUGCAUUGAGUUAUGUAACAGGUAAUGUAACGGGCCCACAAGACGGCCCACCCAAGGGACCUAUCCCCCAUGCACACACCCACGCACUGCUAGGCCUUCAACCAACCAAGUGUGGGUGGCUUCCAGCAGAACUGCAUGCUGAAGAUUAUAUAAAAGAGACACAGACUUUAAUUAAAUUAAGAUUUUGUUUUUUUUAAAUAGUUAAAGGGG